UACGGAGGGUGCGAGCGUUGUCCGGAAUCACUGGGCGUAAAGGGCGCGUAGGCGGCAUGCCAAGCGUGUGGUGAAAGCCCGGGGCUCAACCCCGGGUCGGCCGUGCGGACUGGCGUGCUUGAGCACUGUAGAGGCAGGUGGAAUUCCGGGUGUAGCGGUGGAAUGCGUAGAGAUCCGGAAGAACACCGGUGGCGAAGGCGGCCUGCUGGGCAGUAGCUGACGCUGAUGCGCGACAGCGUGGGGAGCAAACAGG
rnacentral:rRNA from 1 species